UACGGAGGGUGCAAGCGUUGCUCGGAAUUAUUGGGCGUAAAGGGGAGGUAGGUGGUCUCAUUUGUCUGGGGUGAAAGCCUUGGGCUUAACCUAAGAAGUGCCCUAGAAACGGUGAGACUAGAGUCCUGGAGAGGGUCGUGGAAUUCCCGGUGUAGCGGUGAAAUGCGUAGAGAUCGGGAGGAACACCAGAGGCGAAGGCGGCGACCUGGACAGGAACUGACACUCAACUCCGAAAGCGUGGGGAGCAAACAGG
rnacentral:rRNA from 1 species